rnacentral:rRNA from 1 species
CCUACGGGAGGCAGCAGUAAGGAAUAUUGGACAAUGCCCGCAAGGGUGAUCCAGCCAUGCCGCGUGCAGGAAGAAGGCCCUAUGGGUCGUAAACUGCUUUUACACCGGAGAAAACCUCCCUUCGUGAAGGGAGCUGAUAGUAUGGUGAGAAUAAGCAUCGGCUAACUUCGUGCCAGCAGCCGCGGUAAGACGAAGGAUGCAAGCGUUAUCCGGAUUCAUUGGGUUUAAAGGGAGCGUAGGUGGACUGAUAAGUCAGUGGUGAAAUCUUCGAGCUUAACUCGGAAAUUGCCAUUGAUACUGUUAGUCUUGAGUACAGUUGCUGUGGGCGGAAUAUGACAUGUAGUGGUGAAAUACAUAGAGAUGUCAUAGAACACCGAUUGCGAAGGCAGCUCACAAAGCUGUAACUGACACUGAGGCUCGAAAGUGCGGGGAUCAAACAGGAUUAGAUACCCUGGUAGUCCGCACCGUAAACGAUGAUUACUCGCUGCUAGAGGGCAACUUUUAGUGGCUUAGCGAAAGCGAUAAGUAAUCCACCUGGGGAGUACGCCGGCAACGGUGAAACGUCAAGUAGAUAGACGNGNGAGNGNGCGAGACGACGACGGAGGAGAG